rnacentral:rRNA from 1 species
ACUUAUGACUCUCGGCAACGGAUAUCUCGGCUCUCGCAUCGAUGAAGAACGUAGCGAAAUGCGAUACCUGGUGUGAAUUGCAGAAUCCCGCGAACCAUCGAGUCUUUGAACGCAAGUUGCGCCCAAGGUCACCUGUCCAAGGGCACGCCUGCCUGGGCGUCACGC